rnacentral:rRNA from 1 species
CCUACGGGGCGCACCAGUGGGGAAUAUUGCACAAUGGGCGCAAGCCUGAUGCAGCCAUGCCGCGUGUAUGAAGAAGGCCUUCGGGUUGUAAAGUACUUUCGGCGGGGAGGAAGGCGAUAAGGUUAAUAACCUUGUCGAUUGACGUUACCCGCAGAAGAAGCACCGGCUAACUCCGUGCCAGCAGCCGCGGUAAUACGGAGGGUGCAAGCGUUAAUCGGAAUUACUGGGCGUAAGGCGCACGCAGGCGGUCUGUCAAGUCGGAUGUGAAAUCCCCGGGCUCUACCUGGGAACUGCAUUCGAAACUGGCAGGCUAGAGUCUUGUAGAGGGGGGUAGAAUUCCAGGUGUAGCGGUGAAAUGCGUAGAGAUCUGGAGGAAUACCGGUGGCGAAGGCGGCCCCCUGGACAAAGACUGACGCUCAGGUGCGAAAGCGUGGGGAGCAAACAGGAUUAGAUACCCCCGUAGUC